rnacentral:rRNA from 1 species
UACGUAGGGCGCAAGCGUUGUCCGGAAUUAUUGGGCGUAAAGAGCUCGUAGGCGGUCUGUCGCGUCGGCUGUGAAAACUCGGGGCUCAACCCCGAGCCUGCAGUCGAUACGGGCAGACUAGAGUGCUGUAGGGGGAGACUGGAAUUCCUGGUGUAGCGGUGAAAUGCGCAGAUAUCAGGAGGAACACCGGUGGCGAAGGCGGGUCUCUGGGCAGUAACUGACGCUGAGGAGCGAAAGCGUGGGGAGCGAACAGG